GGACUACUAGGGUUUCUAAUCCCGUUCGCUCCCCUGGCUUUCGCGCCUCAGCGUCAGGAGGGAUCCAGCAGCUCGCUUUCGCCACCGGCGUUCCUUCCGAUAUCUACGCAUUUCACCGCUCCACCGAAAGUUCCAGCUGCCCCUAUCCCGCUCGAGCUCCGCAGUCUCCGAGGCACUUCCCCAGUUGGGCUGGGGGCUUUCACCCCGGACUUGCGAAGCCGCCUACGCGCCCUUUAAGCCCAGUGAAUCCGAACAACGUUCGCACGGUUCGUCUUACCGCGGCGGCUGGCAC
rnacentral:rRNA from 1 species